GAUGAAGAACGUAGCGAAAUGCGAUAAGUAGUGUGAAUUGCAGAAUUCAGUGAAUCAUCGAAUCUUUGAACGCACAUUGCGCCCCUUGGUAUUCCAUGGGGCAUGCCUGUUCGAGCGUCAUUUAAACCUUCAAGCUAAGCUUGGUGUUGGGUGACUGUCCGCUUCACGGCGGACUCGCCUCAAAAUUAUUGGCGGCCGGUACAUUGGCUUCGAGCGCAGCAGAAACGCGAACUCGGGCCCGUCGUAUUGGCUCCCAGAAGCUAUCUUCACAAUUUUGACCUCGGAUCAGGUAGGGAUACCCGCUGAACUUAAGCAUAUCAAUAAGCGGAGGA
rnacentral:misc_RNA from 1 species